rnacentral:rRNA from 1 species
AUAUACCCCAUAGAUCUAGGGUGCUGGAAUGCUUCUAGGUCCAAAACUCCGGUGCCUUAGGAUUGGUCUGCGGUCUAUCAGGCAGUAGUGGGUGUAAUGGACCCACUAGCCCGUGACGGAUAUGGGCCUUGAGAGAGGGUGCCCAGAGAUGGACUCUGAGACAUGAGUCCAGGCCCUACGGGGCGCAGCAGUCGCGAAAACUUCGCAAUGGGGGAAACCCCGACGAGGGAAUUCCAAGUGCUAGCACUUUGUGUUAGCUGUUCUUCUGUCUAAAAAACAGGAGAAGUAAGGGGCGGGUAAGACGGGUGCCAGCCGCCGCGGUAAUACCCGCGCCCCGAGUGGUGGUCGAUAUUAUUGAGCCUAAAACGUCCGUAGCCGGUCUUCUAAAUCCUUGGGUAAAUCGGGCAGCUUAACUGUCCGAAUUCCGGGGAGACUGGGAGACUUGGGACCGGGAGAGGUCAGAGGUACUUCUGGGGUAGGGGUAAAAUCCUGUAAUCCUGGAAGGACCACCGGUGGCGAAGGCGUCUGACUAGAACGGAUCCGACGGUGAGGGACGAAGCCCUGGGGCGCAAACGGGAUUAGAUACCCCGGUAGUCCAGGGUGUAAACGCUGCGGGCUUGGUGUUGGGGGUCCUUAGUGGGCGCCCAGUGCCGGAGAGAAGUUGUUAAGCCUGCUGC